rnacentral:rRNA from 1 species
AACGUAGGAGACAAACGUUAUCCGGAGUUACUGGGCGUAAAGCGCGCGCAGGCGGUUCUUUAAGUCUGAUGUGAAAGCCCACGGCUCAACCGUGGAGGGUCAUUGGAAACUGGAGAACUUGAGUACAGAAGAGGAAAGCGGAAUUCCACGUGUAGCGGUGAAAUGCGUAGAGAUGUGGAGGAACACCAGUGGCGAAGGCGGCUUUCUGGUCUGUAACUGACGCUGAGGCGCGAAAGCGUGGGGAGCAAACAGG